UGAUGCUUGUGUUUUCGCCAAGCAAACUCGGUCUGUUUAUCAUCUUUUUUAUAACAGAAAUCAAGUGCCAUUUACUUUGAUUCAUUAUAAUGUUUGGAGCCCUACCCGAUGUGUUUUGGUUUCUGGUUAUCGAUUGUUUGUUACCUUUAUUGACUGUCAUACUCAUACUACGUUGAUAUAUGUGUUACAUCAGAAGAGCGAAGUCUUUCAAAGUUUUCAGUUGUUCCAUAAGCUGGUUCCAACACAAUUUUAUGCUAAGAUUAAGAUUCUCCAUACUGAUAAUGGUAAGGAAUACAAAGAUGGGUCCUUCCAAUUGUAUCUUUGUGAUAAUGGCAUUAUCCAUCAAACAAGUUGUGUCAACACUCCUACUCAGAAUGGCAUGACUAAUCGCAAGAAUCAACGUCUCCUAGAAGUGGCAUGCUCCCUCAUGUUUGAAAUGCACAUCCCACCUCAGUAUUGGAGUGAGGCUGUCCUCACAGCUGCAUUCCUCAUUAAUCUUUUGCCUUCCUGUGUGUUGGAGUCUAGCUGCCCUAUUGAGGUCCUUCUAAGUCCUUCAUUUGUUGUGCCACCCAAGGUUUUUGGAUGUGUGUGUUCUGCUCAUAAUCAUCCUCUACAUGGGAAGCUUGAUCAUCGUGGUCUUUGUUGCAUAUUCCUUGGCUACUCAGCCACUCAUAAGGGAUACAAAUGUUACCACCCUCCAUCCCGGCAGAUGUUUGUCACUAUGGAUGUGGUCUUCCAUGAGACUGAGGCAUAUUUUCUAUCCACAACACCUCUUCAUGGGGAGUUUGCUCUACGGGAAGAUGUGCCUCUGAUUUUCCAUUGGACAAUUCUAUGUCACUUCAUCUUGAGGAGGACAAGAAUAUAGCAGAGGACAUUAAGACAAAUCAAGAACAAGUUCUGGGGGAGUCAAAUCCUUUAAAGGUGUAUAUUCGUUCUUGGCAUAAGCAAGUUGAUCCUACCAACACCACUGUGCCCAGCUAUUCGUCACCACCUGAUCCAAGUCCUCCAAGCAUCUCUACUCCAUCUGUGAGCCCCUUCCUCCUAGUGAUCCUACUCUUGAUUUGACAAUUUCUAUUCAGAAAUCCCGUAGGACUCGCACUCAACAUCACAUCUCCAAUGUAGUUUCCUAUGAUGCUCUGUCUCCCUCUUUCCAUACUUUUGUAUCCUCUUUGCAUUCUGUUUCCAUUCCUCACAUGGUAGGGCGUUUUUCAACUUUUAAACGCUGAGGUUUUUCUCAAAUCUAUAAAUUGCGUAAAUCUUAUUGUGAUAGAACAUUACUAAGAUCAAAAGAGCAGCAAAAUAAUCUUUUGUUUUGAUAUCUGAAAAUUAUUUCCAUUCAGAGCGAUUUUAAACACCAUUCAGGCACUCCAAAUAGAUUUGACCGGAACAUAAUUCCUUCAACAUAAAUUAGAUUCAAGCAAUCUUCAAUUUGUUGGAAAGAGCAAAAAACGAGCUUUCCAUUGGUAGCCUCGCUCCUUUAGAGACUGGGAGAUUGGGCCACAUCAAGCAAUGAUUCGACCCCUUGGGUACAAAACCCUAUUUAGGUUUGCUAUGGGCCCACCCAAAUAAUAGAAGACUCAUCAAAGGAUUAGUACCAAAACUGUAAUUAAUUUGAAGUUUAUAAGAGAGUGGCAGAACUGUAAAUAACAGGAAUCUUAAAGGGUAACUUAAUAGAUAGGAUAAAAAGGAAAUUAACAUUUAUUUGACAGUGAUAAACUUGGAAGCAAAGUGAAAAAGUCUCCUUCAUGAUGGGUCAAAUCGAGUUGGAGCUUUAAAGAUGUAAUCACAACUGCUGUCCCUAAACUCAGGUACUAGCAGCCUCAACCGGUUGGGGAAAUAAAGAACCGCUCUGCAACCACAACUGGAGGUAGGGUAUGAAACAGUUCUGAAAUCAGUCCAGUAACUCACAAUCUCUAAGAGUGGACACCAAAUCUUAAAGGUAGAUCAGCAUACAAAAUUUCAGAUUGGAAGUUGCAAAAUCAAGGGAGAUCGAUUCACAUUCAUUGGGCUGCAAGUGUCACCCAGAACAGAAACAGGGAAAAGUCAUGACAGACUAGCAAGAAAGAAUAGAGAGAAAGGGGAAGAGAACAGAACAGAAGAAUAUUAGAGAACGAUAUAGGAAAGGAAGAUCAAACCUGAGAUGAUAUCCCAUACCUAAUCGACUGGGAGAGAAACAGACAGACAACAGGGAGACAAUAUCACCAAUCAGCAGGUCAGCCAAGGUAGAAGCUCAAAAGCUUGCUAACAACACAAAGUUAAUAUUUCAUUCCAGUCUGUCGUUGUUUACAUCAAAUAUAUAAAAGAGAAAAAAAAUUCCUAAACAAAUUCUAAGACUAAAAAUACAGUUCUGUUAAUGAGUAUCACAUGUUAUCAAUGUGUGUCUCCAGGUUCAAUGUAUCACAAGUGUGUAUGUUAGGAUAACGAUAAAUCACCCUCACCAACAUACCUUAUUUGUAUUAUCACAUGUAUCAUAUGAGUGUAUGCUAGGAUAAGGAUGAGUCAUCCUCACCUAACAUACUUUAUUCGUAUUAUUUCUCAUCUAUAAGUAAAGUGGACCUCUGUCUGAUAAGCCAAAUCAUUCUCUCGAUCCUUCUUCCCAAGUUGGUAUCAGAGCCACAAAAUCCUGGAAAUUUUUUCUGGAGUUAAUCCGUCAGUAGGGUCACCACUGCUGCCAGUUCUUGAGGCUCCGGCCUCUCCUGUGACCCUGUCAACCAUGGGGAACUGAACAUGCACCAAAUCACGUCGCAACAAGUGUGACCUACCGAAUUCACCGCUGAAUUCCACUGACUGGUGCAUACCACUCCCCCACCACCACCUGUGCUCCACGUGAAGCCUUUAUCGCCAAUCAGUAAUGGCUCUACCACCAUCCGUCGGCCAUUUGGUUCUCGCUGCCAUGCCCUAAUGCAGCCUUCGUCCAUGCUGCCAGCUGUUCGUUACUCAUUGACAGGGCUGUUGUCUUUACCAUGUCAUCAUUUUCCAGUUGUUUGGCAUGCUUCUAUGAUACAAGAGCCCUUUCCCUUUACUAUUGAAUCAGUUUUUUUUUUUUUUUUUUUUUUUUUUUUUUUUUGUGAAUCGAUUAAUUGUUUGAAUCUGAUUUGAUGGCAGACAGUGGUAGCACCAUUGUGCUCGAGGGUAGUGAGGUCCCGGGCAAUGUCUUCUGACUAAUUGUGGCCACCAUUUCUCAAGGUACUUAACUGGUGCCACCCCUAUGCCUAUUGAGGGCACCGGACAUCAUGUCAUUUCUCCUCAACUCUAUAGAACCAGCAAUCAGUUCUAGCUUUGUUCUAAUGAAUUCGGCAAAGGAAUUAUGUGAUGCUAUGCAACAGACUUAUGCCCAAACCAGUAUGCACAUAUCUAUGAACUUCGCCGACAGGUUCGUGAGACCACUCAGAAAGAUUUGCCCCUAACAGCCUACUAUACAGCUGGAUUUUUAUCAUUCGGUUCCCAAGGCAUGUACACUGAUGCCUCUGCCUUUUAGAAGGAACAUGAGAUGGAACGGGUCUAUGACUUUCUUACAAGCCUAAAUCCUGAGUACGAUCAGAUUAAAGUCCAGAUUCUUGGCAAGGACAACUUUCCCACUCUCCUUCAGGGUUACAAUUUGCUUCAACAUGAAGAUCGCCGUCAUUCAGUUAUGAAUCCUUCCGUUUUGUCUUCUCAAUCCGCUUUGGUUCCUACACCAGCUAGUGUGGAUCUGUCUAGUCCUCAGACAGUUCCGAGCACCAAAGAACCGGUCAAAUGUGACUAUUGUGGCAAACCUUGCCAUACCCAUAAGACAUGCUAGAAACUCCAUGGUUAGCCUAAAGGGGGAGGGCGUGGUGGGAAACAAAGUUCUACUACCUCCCAGGCACAUCUCACUGAGUCUACUGAGGCUUCUCCUAUAGAACAGUCCACUCCUGCAUCUACAUCUGUCGUACCCUUCUCUUUGGAUCAGUUACUGGCACUUCUGUGCAUGAUGUCUCAACUUGGGACCACCUCUUCUGCGCCUAACCCUGCCUCUACUUCUAACCUUGUCCAGUCAAGUAUUUUCCAUGUCUCCUCUGGUUCUAGUUCAUCCUGGCUCAUUGAUUCAGGCGCUUUUGAUCAUAUGACUAGUUCCUCUGGCCUCUUUUGUUCCUACCUCCCUUGUUCGGGUAAGGAUAAAGUACAUGUGGCAGAUGGAUCUUUAUCCUCUAUUUCUGGUAAAGGUUCCAUUAAAUGUUCUCCUAAGGACCUAAUUAUCAUAAGUUUUACAUGUGCCUAACCUUUGUCCAACUUGCUCUCGAUAUGUCAUCUUACAGUUGAUCUCAAUUGUUGUGUCUCACUGUACUCUACCCAUUACCUUUUUUAGGAUCUGGUGAUGGGAGAAACAAUUGUAAAUAGGGUGCAGGACGGACUAUACUACCAGGACCCAGGUCUUCCUACGAUGCCUCCCAAAAUUUUUACUCAUACCCUUCAGGCUGAUAAUGUCUUCCAACAAGUACAACUUUGCCACAACGCCUUGGUCAGCUAUCUUUUCUUACUUAACGUUUAAUGUUUCUUUCUUUAAUAAAGGGUUGGAGCCCAGACAGCUUUCAUUGUGGUACAUGUGAGUUGGCUAAACAUACCCGUAUUUCAUAUUCACCAAGUCUAAAUAGAAGUGAUAUUCCACUUUCUGUUAUUCA